GGAGGAUGAGAGCAAGGAGAGCAGGAGCCAUUUCACAGUCUGUUGUGACUCAGGAAUCUUCACUCACCACAUCUCCUGGAGGGACAGUAAUACUCACCUGUGGCUCAAGUACUGGGGCUGUUACGACAAGUAACUAUGCCAACUGGGUCCAAGAAAAAUCUUACCAGUUCAGUGAGGUCCUGCUUACCAAGUCUCUUGAUUGAAGAAUGGCACCUCAAGUCUUUGCCCUUGUUCUUGAGAUUGAAAUCACCGUUUACCUUGCUGAAUCAGAGCCCAAGUCCCUACUCAUCAUAUUCCCAGUGGAGUGUGGGCUGACUGAGUUCCCUACCAGGUUCUCCCAAUGCUACAAAUCCUUAAGUGUUAGACAAGGGAUUCUCUUAGAAUGAAGUUGAAGAUUUAAGCAGGUAUGUUUUCACACUUACAUUAGACCUAAUAUGUAGAGAGCAGGUGGUCGUCAAUCUAUAUAUUGAUAUUGACUAUGUGUGUGUAUCAGUCAUAUAUAGGAUGUGUGAAUCAAAGUAUAAUCCUUGUAUGAAGUAACCUUAAUAAUUUUCUUCCUUAAGGAAAUAUAUGAAAUUCUAAUCCAAAAGAUCACUACCAUGCUACUACAAUACAAGACUACCCGAAUAAUGAGCACAGAAGAAAAUACUUAAUCAAAACAUUACCAACUAUAUUCUAUAUUAACGUGAUACUUUUUCACUGUAACCACUAAGAGGGAUGAGGUUACAGAAUUAUAUUCUCUUUAGCAUGACAUCCCUAUACUUUGGGCUGAGAAGAAUUACAAUAUCUGUUCCAUGUAUCUGAUGUGCCUAUUAAUGGCAGAAACUUUGAGUUUUUAGUAUCAGGUAUUUGAGAAACUAUUGGAGAAAAUGUGAAGUUACUGGACAGCAUGCCACAGUACUGAAUGCCACUUAAGUCUACCAUGAACAUGGUCUUUCAAAGAUGAAGCAUGGCAAAAUUGCCAGUAUCACGUAAGAACUACACAGGAAGCUACUCUUUCUUGCUUUGACAUUGUACUGGAUUGAUGCUGCCAUGACUUUUUCUUCAAUAUGCAGAAUCUCAGGUCAUUCAAUAUUUUUUCCAUGUCCUGUUCAGACAUACAGGAAGGAGAUUAUUUUUCUGUCCCAUGGUGCUUUGGGUGUGUU